UUUAUUUCACAUUUUGUGUCUGUUUAUGAUUUUUUAUCUAUUUUUUAUUUAAACAUUAUGUGUGGUGGAGGUUGAAGAUGCAAGGCAUCGAUCAACCAUUUUAUUUUUUUGUGAUUUUUUCAUUUUCUUGUAAGACUUUGCUCCCUUUUACUGUAAGAGUUUGUCUACAGUGUGCACAUUGGUCUGUCUGUUUAUGAUUUUGAGUUUUUUUUUUUUUCACUUUGUUCAUGUUUUUUUAUCUAUUUUUUAUUUAAACAUUCUGUGUGGUGGAGGUUGAAGAUGCAAGACAACGAUCGGAAAAUACCAAUUGAAUGAGGGCAAAAUUAUUCUUCCAGUCAUUCAUGACAUUGAAUGGAUUCAUGGGUGGGUCCAUUUCUCAAAGGAGGCCUUGUUAAGCACUUCAUGACUCUCUCUGAACCUACUCAAAGGCAAUUGACUACCGAGGAUCAAUGAGUUGCAUCAUCAAUAUAGAUAUGCACAUUCUGAUUAUAGAUAUUCUCAAGCUGCUAUCAUGAAGUACAAUAGUUUUUGUGGAGAUUUAUUGCUACAAAUGCAAGAAUAAAGUUAUGAAGGUUGUUGCAGGUAUCCCAGGUAAGGCAUUUCAUAGUUUUAGCAACAUAAUUCUUUAUGGCUAAAUUCUUGUUGAUAAGUUAUUCCCUCAAACUUUACUUCCUAUUAGAUUGGUAUAUAUAAAUUGGAGUGUUUGACUUGCAACACUUUUGAU